UACGUAGGGGGCAAGCGUUGUCCGGAAUUAUUGGGCGUAAAGCGCGCGCAGGCGGUCCGGUAAGUCUGAUGUGAAAGCCCAGGGCUCAACCGUGGAGGGUCAGUGGAAACUGGCGGGCUUGAGUGCAGAAGAGGAGAGUGGAAUUCCAGGUGUAGCGGUGAAAUGCGUAGAGAUGUGGAGGAACACCAGUGGCGAAGGCGACUUUCUGGUCUGUAACUGACGCUGAGGCGCGAAAGCGUGGGGAGCAAACAGG
rnacentral:misc_RNA from 1 species